ACUCCUACGGGAGGCAGCAGUGGGGAAUAUUGCACAAUGGGGGAAACCCUGAUGCAGCCAUGCCGCGUGUGUGAAGAAGGCCUUCGGGUUGUAAAGCACUUUCAGCGAGGAGGAAAGGUUGGUAGCUAAUAACUGCCAGCUGUGACGUUACUCGCAGAAGAAGCACCGGCUAACUCCGUGC
rnacentral:rRNA from 1 species